UACACGGUCCAUGGUGGAGUCUUCAGGUCGGUGAAGAAGAGGAACGUCACACAGACCAACUGAAAGAACGUCUUCUCCGUGCUGAAGCUCUGAGACUGCUGAAUGAACAAAGACGCAUGAAGGGCCAGGAGAAGAAGAGAACGAUAACGCCUGGAACAAACAUUUGAGUGAAGACACAAGGUGUUGGACGAGGAGCAGCAGACUGGAUGGAGACGAGGACAUCAAG